rnacentral:tRNA from 1 species
AGAAGAGACUUGGGGUGAAGCAGGGCUGCUAACUUUGCUUCGGGUAAUUCGAUUAUAUCCCUCUUCUU